ensembl:misc_RNA Metazoa_SRP Metazoan signal recognition particle RNA
GCUGGGCGUGGUGGCGUGUGCCUGUAGUCCCAGCUACUCGGGAGGCUGAGACAGGAGAAUUGCUUGAACCUGGGAGGCGGAGGUUGCAGUGAGCCAAGAUAGCGCCACUGCACUCCAGCCUGGGCAACAAAGCGAGAAUCUGUCUCAA